AGGGAAGCCACCAAUUAAAAUUGCCCUGGUGACAAGGUUUCACUGUGGAGCAUGUCAAGAUGGAUGGGUAUACUGGAAUCCAAUGCCAUUUCUACAGUAAAGUGCAAUCCUUGUUGUUUUUGUAUUUAUUUGUAUGUUCAGAUCCAAAGGAUCCGUUGUAAAAAGUCAGUUUAUACAAGGGUAUUUGCUUUCCUUGGACUUGUUCUUCAUUUAUUUUUUAUUUCUAGCCAAAAUAAAUAAAAGCAUUUAUGAGAACUAUAAGCAAAGCUUUCUGUAUUUCAGAAAGGCGUAAGCUAUUAGAAAGUGAAGAGUGAAUAAAUAAAUAAAUCACAGAGAAUGUAAAUUUUGUACAGUAUUAGAAUGUGUAAAUGAAGCUUGCUUGGAAGGGGAAAACUUUAAAUAAAAACUUUAUGUACU
rnacentral:lncRNA from 1 species